GAUGAACGCUGGCGGCGUGCCUAACACAUGCAAGUCGAGCGGACAGACGAGGCUUUUGCUCGUUUGUCGUUAGGGGCGGAGGGGUGAGACACACGAGUAUACCCUACUUAUAAGACUGAGAUCUUUAGGGGACUGCGGAUAAUACCCAGGAGAAUCUCCUGAACCGUGUGGUUCAUUGGAGAAAUACGGCUUUGGUGUAACUAAUCGAUGCUUCCAGGCUGGUUUAGCUAGUUGGUACGGUAACGGCUUACCAAGGCGAGUCUGCGUAGACGACCUGAGAGGCGGAUCGGCCGCACUGGAACUGAGACACGGUCCAGGCUCCUACGGGAGGCAGCAGUAGGGAAUCGUCGGCAGUGGGCGAAAGCCUGACGGAGCGAGGCCGCGUGUGUGAUGAAGGUCUUCGGAGCGGAAUGCUCUGUUAUUAGGGAAAAACAGAUGUGUAAGGAGAUGUAGAGGUCUUGACGGUAACUAGUCAAGAAGCCACGGCUAACUACGUG
rnacentral:rRNA from 1 species